rnacentral:rRNA from 1 species
UACGGGGGGGGCAAGCGUUGUUCGGAAUUACUGGGCGUAAAGGGCUCGUAGGCGGCCAACUAAGUCAGACGUGAAAUCCCCAGGCUCAACCCAGGAACUGCGUCCGAUACUGGUUGGCUUGAAUCCGGGAGAGGGAUGUGGAAUUCCGGGUGUAGCGGUGGAAUGCGUAGAGAUCCGGAAGAACACCAGUGGCGAAGGCGGUCUGCUGGGCAGUUGCUGACACUGAGGCGCGACAGCGUGGGGAGCAAACAGG